rnacentral:tRNA from 1 species
GCCAGUUUCGUAUAAUGGUAGUACACGACUCUUGUAAAGUCGAUGGUGAGAGUUCAAAUCUCUUGGCUGGCUCCA